GGACCCUUCGGGGUUAGUGGCGGACGGGUGAGUAACACGUGGGAACGUGCCUUUUGGUUCGGAAUAGCUCCUGGAAACGGGUGGUAAUGCCGAAUGUGCCCUUCGGGGGAAAGAUUUAUCGCCAUUAGAGCGGCCCGCGUCUGAUUAGCUAGUUGGUGAGGUAAAGGCUUACCAAGGCUACGAUCAGUAGCUGGUCUGAGAGGAUGACCAGCCACAUUGGGACUGAGACACGGCCCAAACUCCUACGGGAGGCAGCAGUGGGGAAUCUUGCGCAAUGGGCGAAAGCCUGACGCAGCCAUGCCGCGUGAAUGAUGAAGGUCUUAGGAUUGUAAAAUUCUUUCACCGGGGACGAUAAUGACGGUACCCGGAGAAGAAGCCCCGGCUAACUUCGUGCCAGCAGCCGCGGUAAUACGAAGGGGGCUAGCGUUGCUCGGAAUUACUGGGCGUAAAGGGAGCGUAGGCGGACAUUUAAGUCAGGGGUGAAAUCCCAGAGCUCAACUCUGGAACUGCCUUUGAUACUGGAUGUCUUGAGUGUGAGAGAGGUAUGUGGAACUCCGAGUGUAGAGGUGAAAUUCGUAGAUAUUCGGAAGAACACCAGUGGCGAAGGCGACAUACUGGCUCAUUACUGACGCUGAGGCUCGAAAGCGUGGGGAGCAAACAGGAUUAGAUACCCUGGUAGUCCACGCCGU
rnacentral:rRNA from 1 species